AUUGAACGCUGGCGGCGUGCUUAACACAUGCAAGUCGAACGUGAAAGUCCUUCGGGGCGAGUAAAGUGGCGCACGGGUGAGUAACGCGUGGAUAAUCUACCCUUAAGAUGGGGAUAACGGCUGGAAACGGUCGCUAAUACCGAAUACGCUCCCGAUUUUAUCGUUGGGGGGAAAGAUGGCCUCUGCUUGCAAGCUAUCGCUUAAGGAUGAGUCCGCGUCCCAUUAGCUAGUUGGCGGGGUAACGGCCCACCAAGGCGACGAUGGGUAGCCGGUCUGAGAGGAUGACCGGCCACACUGGAACUGGAACACGGUCCAGACUCCUACGGGAGGCAGCAGUGGGGAACAUUGCGCAAUGGGCGAAAGCCUGACGCAGCGACGCCGCGUGAGGGAUGAAGGUUCUCGGAUCGUAAACCUCUGUCAGGGGGGAAGAAACCCCCUCGUGUGAAUAAUGCGAGGGCUUGACGGUACCCCCAAAGGAAGCACCGGCUAACUCCGUGCCAGCAGCCGCGGUAAUACGGAGGGUGCAAGCGUUAAUCGGAAUCACUGGGCGUAAAGCGCACGUAGGCGGCUUGGUAAGUCAGGGGUGAAAUCCCACAGCCCAACUGUGGAACUGCCUUUGAUACUGCCAGGCUUGAGUACCGGAGAGGGUGGCGGAAUUCCAGGUGUAGGAGUGAAACCCGUAGAUAUCUGGAGGAACACCGGUGGCGAAGGCGGCCACCUGNACGGUAACUGACGCUGANGUGCGAAAGCGUGGGUAGCAAACAGGAUUANAUACCCGGGUANUCNNCGCUGUANACGAUGGGUGCUGGGUGCUGGGAUGUAUGUCUCGGUGCCGUAUCUAACGCGAUAAGCACCCCGCCUGGGGAGUACGGGUCGCAAGGCUGAUACUCAAAGAAACUUGACGGGGCGCCCCGCACAAGCGGUUGGAGUAUGUGGUUUUACUACUGAUGCAACGGCACAAUCCGUUAUCCCAGGCGUUGAACAUCUAGGGAACUCUU
rnacentral:rRNA from 1 species